rnacentral:rRNA from 1 species
UCCUUAGACGCUCUAGGCGGCACGCGCGCUACAAUGGGUGGUAGAACGUGUAACUGCUCCCGAAAGGGAGGGUGAACCACGAAUACUUACCCGUGAAUGGGAUAGUUUGUUGCAAUUUUCGGACUUGAACUAGGAAUCCCUUGUAAGAAUGCUCAAGAAUAGCGUGCUGAAUGCGUCCCUGCCGUUUGUACACACCGCCCGUCGUUUCUUCCGACUGAUACUCAUUGUGAGUUGCAAGGAUUCUUAUUGAAAAAUUGCUGCGAAUGCUUUGUAUUGGAGGAAGAAAAAGUCGUAACA